rnacentral:rRNA from 1 species
CUAGGGUGGCAGCAGUGGGGAAUAUUGGACAAUGGGCGAAAGCCUGAUCCAGCCAUGCCGCGUGUGUGAAGAAGGCCUUCGGGUUGUAAAGCACUUUCAGUGGGGAAGAAAGCCUUGGGGCUAAUACCCUCGAGGAAGGACAUCACCCACAGAAGAAGCACCGGCUAACUCCGUGCCAGCAGCCGCGGUAAUACGGAGGGUGCGAGCGUUAAUCGGAAUUACUGGGCGUAAAGCGCGCGUAGGCGGUCUGAUAAGCCGGUUGUGAAAGCCCCGGGCUCAACCUGGGAACGGCAUCCGGAACUGUCAGGCUAGAGUGCAGGAGAGGAAGGUAGAAUUCCCGGUGUAGCGGUGAAAUGCGUAGAGAUCGGGAGGAAUACCAGUGGCGAAGGCGGCCUUCUGGACUGACACUGACGCUGAGGUGCGAAAGCGUGGGUAGCAAACAGGAUUAGAUACCCUAGUAGUC